GAAAAUUAAGUCUGUGGAGAUCAAUGAUGAUGCACAUGACCCCCAGAAGGUUGUCCUUCCAAAGGAACUGCAGCCACGGAAGAAGAGUGUUAAGGUAAAGACCAAAAGAGACCCAUCAAUCACGGAUUCAUCAGAGUUCAAUCCUUCUGAGGAAGAAGGAAAGGAGAAGAAAGAAGGGAAGGAUAAGAAAGAGAGGAAGAGAAAAGAAGAAAAUAAUAGCAAUAAAGUAGAAGAGAGAGAUAGGUUAAAGAAGACAAAGAAAGAUGCUAGUCUGAACGAAUCAGCCAAAGAGAAGAUCCUAGAAGUCUAGAAGGUUAACCUUGGGUGUUCUUUACAUGAUGAGACCCUUUUGAUUUUGGUGAAACAGGAAAAUUCAUCAACUAAGGAUGAUGAAAUAACUACUACCCUCCAUGCCAAGACUUUGGCAAUUGGAGCUGAAACCACAGAACCAGUGGAACAAACCAAUUACUCAGUCAUGGUGUUUUCCUCCCUUCUCUCCAACAAGGUCUCAUAUCCUAUUAGCAAAGAUGCUAUCGAGAGUUCCAGUCCUGAGAUUUCAAAAAAGUAAGUAAAAGAUUCGGCAGAUGAUUUUAUUGAUCUGGAUGUCUUUUUCUCUGAGCUGGAGGUUGAGGUUAAUCCUGAAAGGUAAGAAGCUUCCACUGUCCAGCCUGAGGCUCUUGCUUGCACCAUUUCAGUGUCUCAACCAAGUUGCAAAGUCAUUGAAAAAGCAAAUGAGAUCUUUAAGAAUAUUCUCCCAACUCCAUUCAAGGAUUUAGUACACCCUGACCGAUGUAUUGAGCUAGAAUUGGUCCUUUCUACACUGCUUUGGGCCUCUGGUUUUAAUCCAGAGCAAUACGAGGCCUUGAGAAGGUUCAAGGAAGAAUUCCCAGUCCUUACUGUUGACUACCAAGUCUCCAAGGCCACUCAAGAGGACUGUGAGGGCAAGCUCAAUGCCAUUGAAAUUUUAUCGACUGAGCUGGUGGAGGGAUUGGUU